rnacentral:rRNA from 1 species
GACGAACGCUGGCGGCGUGCCUAAUACAUGCAAGUAGAACGCUGAAGGAGGAGCUUGCUUCUCUGGAUGAGUUGCGAACGGGUGAGCAACGCGUAGGUAACCUGCCUGGUAGCGGGGGAUAACUAUUGGAAACGAUAGCUAAUACCGCAUAAGAGUAGAUGUUGCAUGACAUUUGCUUAAAAGGUGUAAUUGCAUCACUACCAGAUGGACCUGCGUUGUAUUAGCUAGUUGGUGGGGUAACGGCUUACCAAGGCGACGAUACAUAGCCGACCUGAGAGGGUGAUCGGCCACACUGGGACUGAGACACGGCCCAGACUCCUACGGGAGGCAGCAGUAGGGAAUCUUCGGCAAUGGACGGAAGUCUGACCGAGCAACGCCGCGUGAGUGAAGAAGGUUUUCGGAUCGUAAAGCUCUGUUGUAAGAGAAGAACGAGUGUGAGAGUGGAAAGUUCACACUGUGACGGUAUCUUACCAGAAAGGGACGGCUAACUACGUG